AUUGAACGCUGGCGGCAGGCCUUACACAUGCAAGUCGAGCGAGAAAGCCUUCGGGUGAGUAGAGCGGCGGACGGGUGAGUAACGCGUGGGAAUCUACCGAGUAGUGGGGGACAACCGUUGGAAACGACGGCUAAUACCGCAUACGCUCUACGGAGGAAAGGGGCUUUUGCUCUCGCUAUUUGAUGAGCCCGCGUUAGAUUAGCUAGAUGGUGGGUAAAGGCCUACCAUGGCGACGAUCUAUAGCUGGUCUGAGAGGAUGACCAGCCACACUGGAACUGAGACACGGUCCAGACUCCUACGGGAGGCAGCAGUGGGGAUAUUGCACAAUGGGCGAAAGCCUGAUGCAGCGACGCCGCGUGAACGAUGAAGGCUUUCGAGUCGUAAAGUUCUGUUCUUGGGG
rnacentral:rRNA from 1 species